UUGCCACAGCUGAGUGCGGCAUUUCUUUUUGACCUUUUUGUCCUCAAGGACGAACUUGUACAGGGAUUAAUUGGCUUAUUGGGUGAUCAGGAAAACUUCUGGAAACUGGGUGGCCGAAGAAGAUAAAAAGAAGUACCGUUCUUCUUCCAGAAGAAACAGUGUCACUUUUGUGUCUUCUCCUGAAGAGCCAAUAGUGAAGGAAUUUUAUAAAAAAGAAUCUUUAAAACAAGGGGUGACAAAAAGCGGCUAAAAUGGGCAAACAGUUAACCACACUUCGUGCUAAUUAUGCAUCUUUUUGGCAUGGAGUUCAUUAUUUGUUUGCACAGUCUUUUAUUCCGCGUACAACGUAAACAAACCGAAUGGAAGAUGCAAAUUUUUGAAAAAUGAGCUCGAAGCGUCGGAAGUUAAUGAUUCAACAUGGGAAAACGAGUAAUUAGACUAAGGGAUUAUUGUCGUUAUAUUUGUUUUGUGUGUAAACAAAUAAAAGCGUAUAGCUUC